rnacentral:rRNA from 1 species
GGGGGGGGGGGGGGGGGGGGGGGGGGGGGGGGGGGGGGGGGGGGGCGGGGCGUGCGGGGUGGCGGCGGGCGGCGGCCGGGGGCGGAAUACCUCGGAAUCUGCCCUGGCGUGGGGGAUAACCUCGGGAAACUUAGGCUAAUACCGCGUACGACCUACGGGUGCAAGCGGGGGAUCGCAAGACCUCGCGCGACAGGAUGAGCCGAGGUCCGAGUAGCUAGUUGGCGGGGUAAAGGCCCACCCAGGCGACGAUCGGUAGCUGGUCUGAGAGGAUGAUCAGCCACACUGGGACGGAGACACGGCCCAGACUCCUACGGGAGGCAGCAGUGGGGAAUAUUGGACAAUGGGCGCAAGCCUGAUCCAGCCAUGCCGCGUGGGUGAAGAAGGCCUUCGGGUUGUAAAGCCCUUUUGUCCGGGAAGAAAUCGUCUGGGCUAAUACCCCGGGCGGAUGACGGUACCGGAAGAAUAAGAACCGGCUAACUUCGUG